rnacentral:rRNA from 1 species
GGCUCAGGAUGAACGCUAGCGGCAGGCCUAACACAUGCAAGUCGAGGGGUAGAAGGAGCUUGCUCCUUUGAGACCGGCGCACGGGUGCGUAACGCGUAUGCAAUCUACCUUAUACAGGGGAAUAGCCCAGAGAAAUUUGGAUUAAUGCCCCAUGGUAUUAUUAAGUGGCAUCAUUUGAUAAUUAAAGUUCCAACGGUAUAAGAUGAGCAUGCGUCCCAUUAGUUAGUUGGUAAGGUAACGGCUUACCAAGACGAUGAUGGGUAGGGGUCCUGAGAGGGAGAUCCCCCACACUGGUACUGAGACACGGACCAGACUCCUACGGGAGGCAGCAGUGAGGAAUAUUGGUCAAUGGAGGCAACUCUGAACCAGCCAUGCCGCGUGCAGGAAGAAGCAUCUAUGGUGUGUAAACUGCUUUUAUACAGGAAGAAACAACGCUACGUGUAGCGUCUUGACGGUACUGUAAGAAUAAGGACCGGCUAACUCCGUG